GUGGAAAAGACAAACCAGAAAUAUGUCUCAUAUUUGCAAAAGGAGUAUGUGCUAGUCUUAAAUGCCAAAUGUAAUUCAUAUCAGUGGUAACAACAUUAUCACAAAUGGAAUUAUUUACAAUUGGAAGCAAGCCAACAUUUUUGCUAUUAGACAUAGUGUCAUCAUUACAAAAAUCAGACAAAGCACACACAGAAGUAAAAGGAGAACCAGGAGAGGAAGAAGGGGAAGGAGGCACCCAAGACAGUUUGUAUAAGCAAGCUUCCUCUUUACCAAGAUCCAGAGGCCUCUUCAGAGAAGGGUCUUGUAUCAUGUGAAGUAAACAGAAAGUUGGAGUGAACAAAACUAUAUAGUGCAACUGUUUUAUCAACUUGUGAACAGAAAUCAAGUUGUGUUUAUAGGAAGGAACCAGAAGCACAUUGUGAAGAGUAAGGAAGAAGUUAAUGCAAAAGAACCUGUACAAGUUACUUUUACUUUGUAACCAUUAUGCAAAGUUACAAGAUAAGGAACAGUCAAAGGUAUGAUGUUAAAGAGUAGGUUUUUAUCAUGUG
rnacentral:lncRNA from 1 species